ACAACAGAGGAUGAGAUGGUUGGAUGGCAUCACCAACUCAAUGGACAUGAGUUUGAGUAAGCUCUUGGAGUUGGUGACGGACAGGGAGGCCUGGCAUGCUGCAGUCCUUGGGGUCACAAACAGGUGGGCACGACUGAACAACUGAACUGAACUGAGAGUUGUAGGCUCCUGUGAUACCCUCCUUCAUCUCACUCCCUUUCUGUUCUUCCCAGAGCUGGUCAUUGAAGACAUUUAAACCUGACACCUCAGAUCCUUUCAUCCCGAAAACCAGAUGUGCUCAGCUGGAGAGAGGAAAGGGCGGAACAGAAUCCAAACCCUCCAUAGAGAAGAGGGCCAAACGGACAAGCGGCCCAAAGCAUACUGCUUUUGCCUGGUCAUGCCUAUCCUCAAUUGUCGUGGAGUGGAAUUUGAAAGGAUAUAUGGG
ensembl:lncRNA